rnacentral:misc_RNA from 1 species
AAGUCGUAACAAGGUUUCCGUAGGUGAACCUGCGGAAGGAUCAUUAACACGUAUCCACGUAUCAACCAACCGUGAACUUGUUUUCAUAUCUCCCUUCGACCACAUGAGCCGGCUAUUGAACAGAGUUUUGAUAUGGGGAUUUGUGUGCGCGCAAGCGUACAUAGACCAGCUCUGCUUCUACCACUUAUCUUGAGCGCAAGCUUUUAAGCUGUACGGCUGUAGUGUUCGGAGACUAUUACUCUCUCAUCUGCCUCUCCUAUCAAGAGUCGGGUGUUGGGAAACUAUUAACUUAUUUCACCCCCUUUUUGCUAGUUGACUUUUAUAUGUGGCGGUUGUUGCAGUUUAUUCUGUGGUGACUUCACACGUUUAAUUUACUUGAACGUUAAAAAUACAACUCUUAGCAAUGGAUAUCUUGGUUCUC